GCUGAUGCAGAGAGGCCUUGCAGGUAUGGCUGCUGUGUCACAUGUGUGUUAGUAGGUGGCGGGGAGGAGAGAGGCUGUGUCUAUGCUCAGUGUUCUGACCUGUCAGCAUGUGAAUGGUUAGUAGCCUAACAGU